rnacentral:lncRNA from 1 species
UACCAUGGCAUGCCAGCGCACCAGACUCCUUCAUUGCAGUCAGUCCCUCCUCGAUUCACAGAGUACUUCAAUGACGAGAACACUGUUGGUUGCCAUAUCAUGUGAAGGAAAUAUGAUGGUGCAUAGCUCAAGAGUUAAUUAGAUUCAUUACUUAGUAGAUUCACAUGUAUAGUAUAGAUGUUUGAUAUUUCACAUUAGACAAGUAAAUAUUUACAAAAUUAUUGAAUGAUUCCACAUUAAUUUAUAACGGACAUAAAAAUUCAGUAGCACUAUUUUAAUCUUGUAUGUUGUAUUUUAGCAUUAUAAAUGAAAUCAAGCAUAAGAUCCGGCCUUUUUAAUAGUCUAACUCUAGAAUUAACACAUGAGAAACGAAAGUAAUUGAUUUUUUUUAGGCGGUGGUGAUGGUGUAUCCAUGUAUAGGCAUUGGACAGUAUGGUUGUGUGGAGCAGACCUGACUUUAACGAUGAAGGAAAUAUCAGAUCCGUAAAUUAAACUGAGAUGACCAAAUGGAACAAAAGAAAAGAAAAACAUUUCCUUAAUGCUCAAAUUGGUCGGUCCUACAAGCAAGCAUAUGUGAAUUCAGCAAAUGAUAAUUAAAAUGAGUAUUUAAAAUGAAUUUGACUUUGACGAAGAGUUGAUUAUUUAAUUAUGUCUUCAAAUUCGAACAUUUAAAAGAUAUGGCAAAAGACGGCAAUCACCCAGAAGAGAUAAAUAAAUAGUCAACUGGUUUUAUUUAUGACAAUAAAAAUUUACAUGAAAUCAUGAGUUGUGAGGUCUUACCUUUCUAGGUAGUUGUUGUGGUGUACAUCCCAUGAAGAAAAAUGGGAAACAUAUUUCAUCAGCUAUUUAAUCAAAUUUAUUAAACAAACAAAUUAUAUAUGGUAGCAGAGAAAAAGAAAUAUCAACAAAAGUACGAGCUUUAAGAAAAUCCCUAAAAUACGAGCGAGCUUUAAGAAAGUUAAUUGUGUUGCUCAUCAAGUAUAUACAUGUGAAAGGGUGUCUAUAAAUCGAGAUUCUAUAAUUCAAAAAUCAUGUCCUUUAAAAAGGGUAUCCAUCCUUAAGAUACUUAUAGAUGCAGAAUGGGAAGAGUGCAUGUGUAAAACGUGCAAUCAUAUAUAAUGUCUAGCAACUAGCACAUCAUCCAGGUUUGACAAAACCUUCAAGAAUAUUGUAGGCUCUGCGAUUAUUUGUCAGUUUGUAACAUACAUACAUUAGUAUUAAAACAAGUUGUUUGGCAACGAGGGUCAAUCAAAGUCCUACAUUUGAUAUUUCAGCAAAAAUUUCCGACAGAAAUCAUAACCCAUUAAGGAAACCAUAGAUUUCAUUCAAGCUUCUCAAUAAAAUGAUAAUUAAAAAAUACUAGAAAUUACCGAAGCAUCCACUUCAUCAUUCAUUAACCUCCUAAAUCUCAAAUUCUUGCGCAAGCGAGCAGUUGAUGUUCAGUUUGAAUUUUAAAAAUCAGAUACCACGUUACAAAUCUCCAAAUCAUUUCAUUCCUUAAAAAAAGAUGCUAUAACCUACAAGUAUCUAACCGAAUAUUGCACGGAAUAGCUGAUAUAUAGAAUGAAUCAACAAUAAGAGAUUUUGAAUCCAGAUUGUUUUUCCGCAUUGAUAAAAAAAAACAGCCAGAUGCAAAAAUAAGAGACAAAAGUUCGAUCAGUGAGCAAACCGUAUAUUGAUUUGCUCCUCCGAUCUGAUAUGAUCCGAUCUGAUAUGAUCCGAUCUGAUCUGAAAUCUGAUCUGAUCUGAUAUGAUCCUCCCGAUGAGUCGGCGAGGGUCCAUCACCCUCUCCGUCAAUCUCCG